UACGGGGGGGGCAAGCGUUGUUCGGAAUUACUGGGCGUAAAGGGCUCGUAGGUGGCCAACUAAGUCAGACGUGAAAUCCCUCGGCUUAACCGGGGAACUGCGUCUGAUACUGGAUGGCUUGAGUUUGGGAGGGGGACGCGGAAUUCCAGGUGUAGCGGUGAAAUGCGUAGAUAUCUGGAGGAACACCGGUGGCGAAGGCGGCGUCCUGGACCAACACUGACACUGAGGAGCGAAAGCCAGGGGAGCAAACGGG
rnacentral:rRNA from 1 species